rnacentral:rRNA from 1 species
CCUACGGGGCGCAGCAGUGGGGAAUAUUGGACAAUGGGCGAAAGCCUGAUCCAGCCAUGCCGCGUGUGUGAAGAAGGCCUUCGGGUUGUAAAGCACUUUCAGUGGGGAAGAAAGCCUUGGGGCUAAUACCCUCGAGGAAGGACAUCACCCACAGAAGAAGCACCGGCUAACUCCGUGCCAGCAGCCGCGGUAAUACGGAGGGUGCGAGCGUUAAUCGGAAUUACUGGGCGUAAAGCGCGCGUAGGCGGUCUGAUAAGCCGGUUGUGAAAGCCCCGGGCUCAACCUGGGAACGGCAUCCGGAACUGUCAGGCUAGAGUGCAGGAGAGGAAGGUAGAAUUCCCGGUGUAGCGGUGAAAUGCGUAGAGAUCGGGAGGAAUACCAGCGGCGAAGGCGGCCUUCUGGACUGACACUGACGCUGAGGUGCGAAAGCGUGGGUAGCAAACAGGAUUAGAUACCCCAGUAGUC